rnacentral:rRNA from 1 species
GACGAACCGAGCGAACGUUAUUCGGAAUCACUGGGCUUAAAGGGCGCGUAGGCGGAUGGCACAGUCAGAUGUGAAAUUCCCGGGCUUAACCUGGGGGCUGCAUUUGAUACGUGUGAUCUAGAGUGAGGAAGAGGGUCGUGGAAUUCCCAGUGUAGAGGUGAAAUUCGUAGAUAUUGGGAAGAACACCGGUGGCGAAGGCGGCGACCUGGUCCUUGACUGACGCUGAGGCGCGAAAGCGUGGGGAGCAAACAGG